CAGUUUUGGUGACUCGUCUCGCACAAGACAGUUACCUGGUUAAGCAGUUCCCCAACUGACCUAACCUUCGAUCAAACCACCUCCCCAGGUGGUUUUUUCGU
rnacentral:antisense_RNA from 1 species